rnacentral:rRNA from 1 species
UUCGCAAUGCCCGAAAGGGUGACGAAGCGACGCCGCGUGCGGGAAGAAGGCCUUCGGGUUGUAAACCGCUGUCGGGAGUUAGGAAAUGCAAGGAUGUUAAUAGCGUCUUUGCUUGACUAAGGCUCCGGAGGAAGCCACGGCUAACUCUGUGCCAGCAGCCGCGGUAAUACAGAGGCGGCAAGCGUUGUUCGGAAUUAUUGGGCGUAAAGAGCACGUAGGCGGCCGUGUAAGUCGGUUGUGAAAGCCUUCCGCUCAACGGGAGAACGGCAUCCGAUACUGCAUGGCUAGAGUGCGGGAGGGGAGAGUGGAACUUCUGGUGGAGCGGUGAAAUGCGUAGAUAUCAGAAGGAACGCCGGCGGCGAAAGCGGCUCUCUGGCCCAUAACUGACGCUGAGUGUGCGAAAGCUAGGGGAGCAAACGGGAUUAGAUACCCCGGUAGUCCUAGCCGUAAACGAUGGGCACUAAGUAGAGGGGUUUU